rnacentral:rRNA from 1 species
GAUGAACGCUGGCGGCGUGCCUAAUACAUGCAAGUCGAGCGAACAGAUGAGGAGCUUGCUCCUCUGACGUUAGCGGCGGACGGGUGAGUAACACGUGGAUAACCUACCUAUAAGACUGGGAUAACUUCGGGAAACCGGAGCUAAUACCGGAUAAUAUAUUGAACCGCAUGGUUCAAUAGUUAAAGACGGUUUUGCUGUCACUUAUAGAUGGAUCCGCGCCGCAUUAGCUAGUUGGUAAGGUAACGGCUUACCAAGGCGACGAUGCGUAGCCGACCUGAGAGGGUGAUCGGCCACACUGGAACUGAGACACGGUCCAGACUCCUACGGGAGGCAGCAGUAGGGAAUCUUCCGCAAAGGGCGAAAGCCUGACGGAGCAACGCCGCGUGAGUGAUGAAGGUCUUCGGAUCGUAAAACUCUGUUAUUAGGGAAGAACAAAUGUGUAAGUAACUAUGCACGUCUUGACGGUACCUAAUCAGAAAGCCACGGCUAACUACGUG